UCAAGGUCAAGAAAGAGAUAAAUGAGGUGACGUUCGACGUUGACAGGUUAAAAAAUUUCUAGGUGUUUCUGAAAGUUAAAUUAAAAAAUAAUAAUAAUUUAAAAGUCUAAAUUAAAAUUAUUUAAAUAACCGUGUAAAAUGUCUCAUCAAACAGGGAUUCGAGCUAAUGAUGAAUUAAAAAAAUUCUUUGCCAAGUGCAAGGAAGGUAUGGUCAGAUUGGUAAAAGUAUCUAUUAAGGAUGAGCAAUUAGUUCUAGAUGCAAGCAGUAGUGUUAAGCAUAAUUGGGAAAAAGACUUUGAUACUAACAUACAACCAUUAUUAGAAGAAAAUCAACCUUGUUACAUCAUAUAUAGGUUAGAUACUAAAGAUUCCUUAGGGCAUGAAUGGCUAUUGAUCAGUUGGUCACCAGAUACAGCACCAGUAAGGCAGAAAAUGCUGUAUGCCUCAACAAAAGCCACACUCAAACAGGAGUUUGGGACUGCACAGAUAAAAGAGGAAAUACAUGGAACCGUCAGUAGUGACAUCACCCUGAAUGGAUACAUAAGGCACAAAAAAUCUGUUGCUGCCCCUGCACCUUUAUCAAUGAGGGAAGAAGAAUUGCAGGAACUUAGAAAAACUGAAGUGCACACUGAGAUUAAUAUUGCUACAAAGCAACAGACUGCUGGGGGUGUAGCUUUUCCAAUAACUGAGACUGCAAAACAAGCUCUGAUUGAUAUGGCUAGUGGAUCGUAUGAUUACUUGCAAUUUAGAAUAGAUAUUGAAGAAGAAAUUAUUCAUCUAGUGUCUGCCGAAAAUAUAUCAUUAGCGAAAUUACCUUCCAAAGUUCCAAAAGACAGUGGACGGUAUCAUUUAUAUAAAUUUAAACAUACACAUGAAGGAGACUACACAGAAAGUAUGGUUUUUAUUUACUCAAUGCCAGGAUAUAAUUGCCCUAUUAAGGAAAGGAUGUUGUAUUCCAGUUGUAAAAACCCACUAACAGAUACCAUAUCAAAUCUAGGAAUUGAAAUUGCCAAAAAGGUGGAAAUAGAUUCUGGGGAUGAACUCACCGAAAAAUUCUUGUACGACGAACUCCAUCCAACAAACAGCCUACACAGACCUCAGUUCGCUAGGCCGAAAGGACCUCCAAACCGCGGCCCAAAGCGCAUGACCAGGAACAACAACGAAUGAUAUGAAUGAGCGCCCCAUUUUAAGUGUUUAUUUUACGUUUUGUUCCUUUACAAGUCACGCCGCGUCAAAUUUUUGCUCAAUGAUUUAUCAGGCAAGAGAAUUAAUAAAAAGGCUGUUUUCUAUGAUUUUUUGAUAGCGUUUGAGAGUUAGAGUGAAAAGUUAUUAAAAUCAGACCUCCAGAUGAUAUUUACAUCACAAACGUACAAAAUGUAUAUGAUGAUGAAGUACUGAUUGUUUCAAUUUUUUGGUCGAUAUUUGUCGUUGAUAUACAAUUGUUUACAUACACAAAUUGUAAAAGAGCGUUAUUAUAUUUAAAUUUGCUUUUUAAUGAUUUUCUUCAAAAUUAUUAAACAACUUGUAUAUAUGCCAGAUUUAUUUAAUAUAUGACAGUAUUUUAGUUGCUAGAAAUUAUUUUACUUAUCCUGUGUGUCAAACAUGUCUCUAGUCAUGGCAUUGUCAAAAACAUUUGCAAGUGUUAAAAGGAGCUAUAUAAUUAGGCUCCAAAAUAUAAUACGCCGGUUUUUUUAUUGUUUAUUGAUCUAACGCAAACAAUAUACAGUUCUGCUGCCAUCUAGUAGAAAACUCUGAAAGCUUUUGAGCUAACGAGGACAAAAUGAAAAGUUUGGCUUCAACAUUUUGUUAUUGGCUCAAAAAUGUAUUAUCACAAGUGAAUAUAUUGUUAACCUGGUUAGCUAUUGUUCGUUAAUUGUUACAUGUUUAGAUUGGGUAAUAAUGUUUAACUAUUUAUAAUCUUUUUUGACAAAACAUGUUAGAAGACUAUGUUUACUGAAAAUAUUUAAUGCUUUAUUUAAAUUAUUGGUUAUAUUUUUAUAUGGUGCUAGAUGAGAAAUAAAAAAGCUUUUAUAUA
rnacentral:misc_RNA from 1 species